GUGACCCCGCUGACCCCGCCCCUCCCCCAGGCCGCCCUCGGGGGGCUCCUCGGCGUCGCCAGCGCCCGCCUGGGCUCCAUGAAGACGCGCUUCGAGGGGCUGUGCCUGCUGUCGCUGCUGGUGAGCGAGAGCCCCAGCGAGGCCUUCCAGCAGCACUGCCUGGGCUGGCUGCGCCUCCUGCAGCACCUGCUACAGUCGCAGGACCCCCCUCCCACGGUGGCCCUGGGGGUGUUUUGGGGGGUCCC